rnacentral:rRNA from 1 species
UACAGAGGGUGCGAGCGUUAAUCGGAAUUACUGGGCGUAAAGCGCACGUAGUCGGCUUUGCAAGUCGGUUGUGAAAUCCCCGGGCUCAACCUGGGAACUGCAUCCGAGACUGCAUUGCUAGAGUAUGGGAGAGGAAAGCGGAAUUUCUGGUGUAGCAGUGAAAUGCGUAGAUAUCAGAAGGAACAUCAGUGGCGAAGGCGGCUUUCUGGACCAAUACUGACGAUCAGGUGGCGAAAGACGUGGGGGAGCAAACAGG